rnacentral:rRNA from 1 species
AGAGUUUGAUCCUGGCUCAGAACGAACGCUGGCGGCAGGCCUAACACAUGCAAGUCGAACGAUGCCUUCGGGCAUAGUGGCGCACGGGUGAGUAACACGUGGGAACAUACCUUUUGGUGGGGGAUAACUUCGGGAAACUGAAGCUAAUACCGCAUACGCCCCUUGGGGGAAAGAUUUAUCGCCGAAAGAUUGGCCCGCGUCCGAUUAGCUAGUUGGUGAGGUAAUGGCUCACCAAGGCUCCGAUCGGUAGCUGGUCUGAGAGGAUGACCAGCCACACUGGGACUGAGACACGGCCCAGACUCCUACGGGAGGCAGCAGUGGGGAAUAUUGGACAAUGGGCGCAAGCCUGAUCCAGCCAUGCCGCGUGGGUGAUGAAGGCCUUAGGGUUGUAAAGCUCUUCACCCACGACGAUGAUGACGGUAG